GCAACACGUCCUUCGAGACGCAGGAGCGCGCACCGUCGCGAUGACGUCAGCUGCGCGCCCUCAUGUCUGGCCAAAAGGAACUUGGUGGCACCAGCUAGAUCAAAAUAGCGGCUUUUAUUUCACAUUCCUCAAUACACAGUUCAUCGAAGUAUCCUCAGGAUCUGCAUGUGGAGUAUAGAUACCAAGUGUAAUCAAGGACAACUCCCAGGUUCUUAGUCCAAGAACUGGAAGGUCGAAGCUGAUAUUUACUGAAAUGGAGAACUCUGCAAGAGCAGGUUUGGGAGCAAGGAAGCCUUGGAAUUCAGUUCUGGUUAUAUGAAUUUGAGUUGCUAUAUCAGGCUCUUUAGAGUAAGUUUGUUGCAGUAAACAACUCCAAAAAUCUUAGUGCCUUAAAACAAAAAAGUUUAUUUCUUGCUCACCUGUGUGUCUGCUGCAUGUUGACUCUGGCUGUGCUGACUUCAUCCCAUGACCCAGGCUGAAGGAGCAGAGAUGGUUCUGAUUUUAGAACAGAGGGAAGAAAGAGCACAGUGGAGCCACAUCAUGGCCCUUAAGGCUUCUUCUCAGGCUGGCACAAGUCACUUCUACUCAUAUGUCAUUGAUCAAAGUAAGUCACGUGGCCAACUCUGACAUCAAGGUUAAGUAUAAUCCUAGGACUGUAAAAAGCAGAAGGCAAAAAAUAUUUCAAAUAAUAAUACAGUACACUGCAGAUGCCUAUUUGACAUUUAAGUGGCAAUGUCACUAGGUAGUUGGAUGUAUGAAUCUGAAGAUCAGGAGAGAAAUCCAGGCUGCAUAUAUGAAUUUUAGAAUCUUUAGCAUGUAAUAUUUACAUUCCUGAAGUUAGAAGAGAUCACCAAAGGAGUAAGUAUAAGUAGAGAAAAGUUCAGAGGACUGAGCCAGGGGCACUCUGGCAAUUUAGAAAUCAGAAAAGUGAGAAAUAAUCAACCAUGACUGAGAAAGAGUGGCCCUGGAGUAAGUGGUGUGCUGGAGGUAAAGCAAAGAUGAUUUUGGAUAAGAGGGGGUGAUGAGCUCUGUCAAAGCCUGCUGAUAGGAUACAAAGAGGACUGGCAGUUGAGUGGAAGUUCUUGUAAAGCUGAGAAAAGCAGUUUUGCUGCUGGGGUUGGGGAAGAAGCCUCAUUCUAGUGGGUUUGAGAGAGAAUGGUAGUAAAUGAAGUAAAGGGAGCAAAUGUGAACAGACCAACCAGAUUAUUCACAGGAAGAAAAAAGAAGGUACUGAAAGAAUGCCAAAGACACAGCUACACUGGUAAGGAUCAGAGAAGCAGAGAUGCUGGAGUUCUGAGUACAGGAGCAGAGUGGCUGUUGCCAACUCAAAUACACAUCAUUUAAGUGCAUCUACUCGGGUGUCUCCAUUCCUCACCAUCUGAGGAAGCUACAUCAACCCACCACCCUUUCCCGAUUAAUUAACUCCACCUUUAUUACAGUUAAAAGUUUCUUUCCUUGUACAUCUUCUCUAAACCCCUGGUCUUGGAGUGCCCAGAUUUUACUCCUUGCUCUUCUUCUCUAUCUGCAUUCACUUCCUUGAUCUUAUCCAGUCUCAAAGCUUGAAACAUCUAUAUGCCAUGACUCCCACAUUUCUAACUUUAUUCAUCCUUUUCUUCAAAUCACAAUCCAACUGCAUACUUGGUAUUUCCAUUUGGGUGUCCAAUAGAUUGAACUGCUGCUGAUAACCCUGCUAUAAACCUCUUAUUCACAGACCUCUGACCUUGGCUGAUGGCAUUCUGAUCCUUCCACUUCUAGAUUCUGUGACUCCUCUGCUCAAAACCUCCAAUCCCAUAGGCAGGAUGAUUAAGAAACUUGCCCAGUGUCAUCCCAUUAAUCAAUGACAGAGGUGAGACCCCAACUCAAGCAGCUUGAUGGGAACCUGUGCUCUGCACCACAGUACUUUGACACAUGCACAUGCUCAGUAGGUUACACGAUGUUACGUCUCGUAUGAGUCCCUGUUAUAUAGACAUAUGGAUUUGUAAGAAAAUGCGAAAAGGAUAUAUACCAAUAUAUUUGCACUGUGAUCUCUGGAUGGAUAAGUUAUGGUUUGAUGUUUUUCCUUGAUUUUGUUUAUGUGUAUUUUUUACAUCUUCAACAAUGAAAAUAUAUUACAUUUACCACAAGGAAAAUAUCUUUACAGAUUUUUUUAAAAUUUAGGAUUCCAGAUGAACUUCAUUCCCUUUAAUCAUUCUGUUUAAUAAAUAAACAUCUCAUUCCAUAAAUUUUUGAGUUGCUCAACCCCGAUAUCAGAAAGUACAGGACAUUUUCAGGCAAAUUUUCGUAUUUUUGGCAGAGAUGGACUAUAGAACUGGUACAACUAUACGUCGGAUACAGUAUAGUGUGUCUCUUCCCUUUUCAGUGAGGUAGGGAAAGUGUGUGGGUGGAUUUAUCUUAAUCUCACACUGUGUCUCCACAGUAGACACCCUUCUCCACAUCCUAAAUAGAAAUUUCCUAAACAUAAAUACAAAGACCUUCCCUGGCUUCUAUUUUGUAAAUGGAGAUAACUUUUUGCUAUUUCACCAGUGUCUCAAGAAUAUUUGAUUUUUCUUUUCUUUUAAUUUUUUAAAAAUAUUUAUUUUUGAAAGCUAGAGAGAGCAUGAGUGUGAGUGACUGAGGGGCAGAGAGAGAGGGA